rnacentral:lncRNA from 1 species
AUUUUCUAUGUUCUCUACUUCCUUUUCUUUACUUCUCUCAAAAUUGGAAUUUCUAUUUUCAUCAAUAACUUCUCCUUGAGAUAAAGACUCUAGAGUACAAGAAGUAAAAUAAACAUUAUUAAAAGGAAUGAUGACAUUUUCGGUAGCCACAAAAACGCUAUCAAUUUCUUUUUCAAUAAUCUCUUCUUUUUCUUUCUCACUCUUAGGAAUUGUGACAUUUUCGAUAGCCACAAAAAUGUUCUCAAUUUCUUUUUCAAUAAUCUCUUCUCCCUUCACUUCACUUUCAAAUUUCUCCUUGCUCUCUUGUUUUCUUUUCUCUCUACCAAUCUCUUUAUUUUGGAAGUUACCCCAAAAUACAUCAAAAUUUGCAAUAUGUUUUUUUUUUGUCCCUCAC